GACUCCUAGGCCUCCCCCUCCCCGCCAAGAACGCCAACCCCGCCGGUGCCUACUACUCCGCUCCGAUUCCCAUCUAGCAAGCAGAGCAGGGAUGGGAGGGGCGCCGUCGUCCUACUGCAUCCCUGGAUGCUAGCGCAGAGAACUAAUCCUGUGCCCGAACUCUGCUUGAUCUAACGUGGUGGCUGACAUUGACUAGUGAAUGCUUUUGUGGAACCUCUUGAUAUUCCAGAAUGGCAGAUAAUCAUUUUCUUUGGCUAAUUUUCACUGUUAUUCGUUUCAGCAAUAAUAAUUCAUUUGUUCCGCUAUGGAGAAGCACCUGGCCCUUGCGUACAUCAGGAUCAAGCUAAGAAAAUUUGAUCUUCUAGGGCUUGUGAUGAUGAAGAGACAGUGUGGUCAACCCAUUCGGCAAGAGUGAACGAAAUUAUUUCGAGGAAGAUCAGCAUACUGCAGAAUGCUCGGUUACUCACAAGGUAUUUGUGGAAUUGCCUCGUAAAUUUUCUGCAUGUUAGUGUUCUAUUUUUUUCCGGCAUAAGUGUGCAUGGUCAAAUUAUAAUUAUCGGUUAGUUGUUAUAUGUUAAAUAGUAAUAAGACCCUGGAUAACCUCAGGAUGCAUGGGGGUGAAAAGUUAUAAAUGAGAUGCAAUUACCUCAUCAUGACAUAUUUUCCUUUGGUAUUUCUUUUGUAUUAUGAAAAAUAAAUCAGUUUGAACUUCUUGGUUCCAUACUUGCAGCAGUAACAACUAAUGAGAAGUUUAGAUAAGUGUGUAUAUUUGUGUAUUGCUUGUAAAUAUUCCAAUAGCGAUUGUUGCAUGCUUUGCCAAUCAGUUAGGUACAUGGACCCAUGUUUAAUGGGAGAUGUAGAUAAUCUUGGCAUCAAAACAUAAUCUUGAACUUACCUUUUCAGUUACCCAUUAUAGAAUAUUAAAAUUGCUAACAUACUGUUAUUAAGUGAACACCAAAUAUUCUAAUAUAUUACUAUUAAAUCAUUCGGGAACAGAGUGCUUAGGUUGUUUCAGGAUUUCCUAUAUUAGUACACAGGUCCUCAUUCUGAAGCAUUUUUCAGGCAAAAACCAAAUGUACUGGUUUCUCAAUUGAAGAGAGAAUCAUUUGAAACAGACCCUCCUAGCAUCACUUUGUGGAUACUUUCAGAAAACAGCACCCAAACGAUGAUGCUUUUAUUGAAGAAACAACAAUUGUUGAACCUUCAUGUAAUAUUUGUUGAACCUUAUGUGAGAUUGUUUUGUUCUGUUCUGAAUUGCAAACCGCAGCUUUUGUCCUUGGUGCACUUUUGUUUUGUUCACGUAUGUAAUUGUGUGUGGUGUGGAUGAGCUAUGUGCUGAAUAGGAUCCCCCGUGUCAGUGUGGAUGUUUGAACUUUCUGGUGGUUCUUGCAGACCUGAGUAGCUAGCUUGGAUCCCCUUGUGAUGUAGUCUAUGACUUUGCAUAACGUUAUUUGCACUGACACUAUGCAAAUACUUAUUGUAGUUGUUUUGUGUAACAUUAUCUCGACAAAGUAUGAAAAGCAAUAUGUAUUGACAUGGAUGUAUAUCAUAUUAA